CCUACGGGGGGCUGCAGUGAGGAAUAUUGGUCAAUGGCCGCAGGGCUGAACCAGCCAAGUCGCGUGAGGGAUGACGGUCCUAUGGAUUGUAAACCUCUUUUGUCAGGGAGCAAAGGGCGCCACGUGUGGCGCUUUGCGAGUACCUGAAGAAAAAGCAUCGGCUAACUCCGUGCCAGCAGCCGCGGUAAUACGGAGGAUGCGAGCGUUAUCCGGAUUUAUUGGGUUUAAAGGGUGCGCAGGAGGAAUGUCAAGUCAGCGGUAAAAUUUCGGGGCUCAACCCCGUCGUGCCGUUGAAACUGGCGUUCUUGAGUGAGCGAGAAGUAUGCGGAAUGCGUGGUGUAGCGGUGAAAUGCAUAGAUAUCACGCAGAACUCCGAUUGCGAAGGCAGCAUACCGGCGCUCAACUGACGCUCAGGCACGAAAGCGUGGGUAUCGAACAGGAUUAGAUACCCUUGUAGUC
rnacentral:rRNA from 1 species